GACGAACGCUGGCGGCGUGCUUAACACAUGCAAGUCGAACGGUAAGGCCCUUCGGGGUACACGAGUGGCGAACGGGUGAGUAACACGUGGGUGAUCUGCCCUGCACUUCGGGAUAAGCCUGGGAAACUGGGUCUAAUACCGGAUAGGACUCCGGACUGCAUGGUCUGGGGUGGAAAGCUUUUGCGGUGUGGGAUGGGCCCGCGGCCUAUCAGCUUGUUGGUGGGGUGGUGGCCUACCAGGGCGACGACGGGUGGCCGGCCUGAGAGGGUGCCCGGCCACACUGGGACUGAGAUACGGCCCAGACUCCUACGGGAGGCAGCAGUGGGGAAUAUUGCACAAUGGGCGCAAGCCUGAUGCAGCGACGCCGCGUGAGGGAUGACGGCCUUCGGGUUGUAAACCUCUUUCAGCAUCGACGAAGCGAAAGUGACGGUAGGUGCAGAAGAAGGACCGGCCAACUACGUGCCAGCAGCCGCGGUAA
rnacentral:rRNA from 1 species